rnacentral:lncRNA from 1 species
UUUCAUAAAUUACCCCCACAAAAUUUAUAUAUAUAAAAAAGAUUUACACAACUCCCUCCACCACACAAACGCCACUCUCGUUAAUAAGUAAACACGCUGAAUGAUUCACCGUCUGCCUUUCAUAUUUUAUUUAAAUCGUGUCUUUUCUACAUUUACUGUGUUUAUUAUAUUAAACGUUGUACAAGUUAAGUCACAGUAAAUUAUUUGCCGUGUUUGGACACGGUGAAUGUUUUAUUAUGUUCAACUUAAUUUUUUUAUACUCACGUGGCACUUGCAUGGUGGUGAUAGGGGCAAUUUUGUAAAUAUA